rnacentral:rRNA from 1 species
ACGAACGCUGGCGGCGUGCUUCACACAUGCAAGUCGAACGGAAAGGCCCUGCUUUUGUGGGGUGCUCGAGUGGCGAACGGGUGAGUAACACGUGAGUAACCUGCCCUUGACUUUGGGAUAACUUCAGGAAACUGGGGCUAAUACCGGAUAGGAGCUCCUGCUGCAUGGUGGGGGUUGGAAAGUUUCGGCGGUUGGGGAUGGACUCGCGGCUUAUCAGCUUGUUGGUGGGGUAGUGGCUUACCAAGGCUUUGACGGGUAGCCGGCCUGAGAGGGUGACCGGCCACAUUGGGACUGAGAUACGGCCCAGGCUCCUACGGGAGGCAGCAGUGGGGAAUAUUGCACAAUGGGCGGAAGCCUGAUGCAGCAACGCCGCGUGCGGGAUGACGGCCUUCGGGUUGUAAACCGCUUUCGCCUGUGACGAAGCGUGAGUGACGGUAAUGGGUAAAGAAGCACCGGCUAACUACGUG